rnacentral:lncRNA from 10 species
UGUGGAGCAACAGGCAGUUUUAAUGAAUGCCUGAAGGCAGACCUUCAGGCCAUUUCAGGCCGAGGCCUAAAAUGGCAUCAGCCCCAAAUGAGGACGGGCAGGGGUUUUACAGUCUCCCGUAAACAGGAAGUGUUUCAGUCUGUGUAUCUACUGCUACGUGAUACCCGGUAGGCCUCUCUCUGGGUCUUCAGAACAGCUCUCUCCCCGCUUCUGCUAUCUUGCUGACGCACGCUGAUGACGUAAGCCGCCUUGCGCCUUGGGACUGGGCCUGAGAAGGGAGGAGUUAUUCAGGCCUCCGCCAGCUUCUAGGCCCUGGGGAUGGUCUUUCACCUCCCUCUUUCUGAUCUCUUUUUCAUGCUCCUCCUUGCUCCAAAGAAAAGCCGGAUGGCAAAAGAGCCCAGAACCUAUUGGAACUGACAAAAUCAAGUCACGGCGCCUACAAAGAUGAGGGGCAGAUUCUGGCUGCCUUUUAAUUUCGUCCUUCACCUGAUAUCUGUGCCAGAGAAUGUCUUCCAGGAGUUCUGCUACAGAGAAGAGAGUAACCCCCAUCCAUCAUGGCCAAAGCACCCAGUCAGGCUCCGCUCUGGAUCCAGCCCGACAAAUGCAACCCUUGAAUAGGGUUUGUGCAAGCAAACUGGAUGACGACCGAAGAAACCCUGUCGCUUCUGAGAAGACACCCAAUCCAAGAAUGUGAGUUCUGGAAAUGUCAUUAAAUGUCAGUUAUAUACAUGCUUACGUGUCCAUAUUAGCUAUGCAAUCACCAUCAGCAAGUUCUUUUUCUCAACCAAAAAAAGAAGUAAAUUUCUCUGCUAAUUAAAUAUUUCCUCAGGCCAGCCACAGCAUCCAGCUGAAAUAAGAAUUUUAAUGGGAAAAUACCUUAUCUGUAUUCAGUGUUGACUCCAUGCUAAUUUGAGUGUUUGAGAUGGCUAUUAGGUGCUGUAACAUUAAAUAAUUUACAAAUACUUAAAUAUUUGAACCAUAACUACAGUUUUAAAAUAAGUUUACUCAUCUAAGAGUGAAGAUUCUCUUACAAUCUGCAAGUCUAUAGCUCAACUUUUACAUAUUCAUGUUUUAUAUUCAUUUUCAGGAAAGCAUCAGGUUCAAUACCUAGGAACUCCUGUAGAGGGUGUUGUGGAAUCUUCUUUAAAAGAACAAAACAAGGCAAAACAAAGUUUAAUAGGGUAGAGCAGCCAGGUGUGGUGGGUCAUGCCUGUAAUCUCAGCAAUUUGGGAGGCCAAGGCAGGAUCUCAGCAAUUUGGGAGGCGAAGGCAGGCAGAUCACUUGAGCCUAGGAGUUCAAGACCAGCUUGGGCAACAUAGCAAGACCCUGCCUAUACCAAAAAAAAAAAGUGAACCUAGGAGUAUGAGGCUGCAGUAAGCUGUGGUUGUACCAGUGCACUUUGGGAGGCCAAGGUAGGCGGGUCUUCUGAGAUCGAGAGUUUGAGACCAGCCUGACCAACAUGGAGAAACCCCGUCUCUACUAAAAGUACAAAAUUAGCCGGCAUGGUGGUGCAUGCCUGUAAUCCCAGCUACUCGGGAGGCUGAGGCGGGAGAAUUGCUUGAACUCAGGAGGCAGAGGUUGUGGUGAGCCAAGAUCGCGCCAUUGCACUCCAGCCUGGACAACAAGAGCGAAACUCCAUCACAAACAAACAAACAAUAAACAAAAACCAUAGAGUGAUUUCUGGCCAACAGAGCAAGAAAGAAGUGAACCAAUGAAAACCGGUCCAAGUCUGGGAGUCAAUAUGGAAAAGCUGCCUAAUUAAUGUGGAAGCCCCAGGGAAAUGAUAUACCAUGAAAACCUAACACUACAAAAACUAGUUGUCAGACACAUGUGAGCAGUGAACAGAAUCCUAAUAUGCUGGUUUAACAUUCAAAACUGGAGAGUGUUUGUGUAUCUUCUAAAGACUGUUUGGGGUUUAUUUGUGGAGUUCAGCUGAGUGUCAUCAGAACAAAGAUUAGUGCAAAAAAUCUUUCAGAAAUCAUGCCCAAACAUUUGCAUGCACCUUAAAUAAGAAAUGAAAUAGCAAGAAGAGUAUGUCACAAUAAAGUAUAAAUAGCAAGUGAUAUGUCUCAUCGUACUGAGACAGUUUUAUAAAUGAGGCAAAGGCCUUGUCAAAAAAUAAUGAUGAUUUUCAAAAUUCUGAAACGCAAAGGAGGAAAACUACUUCAUUCAGUUAACAGGAAGCACACAAGAAUCUCCCCAUCAACCAAGAUUUUUUUUUUCUAUAACCCACGCUUUGUAAGACAAUAAUAGCAAAAACUAUAAACUAGAAUUUGUUGAAAGAACAACUUCUAGAAUUUGCCCUUUAUGUGCUGUUUUACCAUUGUCAUGUCUGUCUCUGGUAUGACUUCCUCAUCUAUUAGUAGCCUCCUAAUAAAUUUGAACAAAUGAAUGAAUGAAUAAGAGACAACUAAGCAUGAGGUAUUGCAAGAUGGUAACUCAUCCAGGGAAAAUUAAAACCUGGAGUGGAUCAGAUGGAAAAACAAAAUAAGACACUAGAAAAAAAUCACCAGGAGGGUUUCAAACCAAAAGAUCCCCUGGUUAACCUUCAGCUAAUUAUAAGAUUUAAUUAACUAGAAAAACUCAAUCCUUGUUUAUUCUAUUUAAUUGAGAUUUUACCAUAUUUAAAAUGAUGUUACUCAAGUGUUCUCAUUAAUAUUUAAUGAAAGUGUGAGAGAAUUGGCUAACCAAAUUUACUGUGCUUAGGUAAACUGUAAUUAGGAAGGGUUAGCAGAGCAUCCCAAGGGACCUAUCAAUCACAAAAUGAAGCGAUACAAUUACAGAUGAAUUUCAACAAGGAAACACACAAAACAGUGAUCCUCAAAAAAGAUGGAAUAAAAUUACUUGAAUGUGGUAGUCGGUUCUGAGAAAUGCAAUCAAUCACAUGUCAUUUCAGACAACUCAGAAGGAAUAACCCUACCCAACAGACUUGAACUCUUUGUGUGUGUGUGUGUGUGUGUGUCUGUGUGUGUGAUAGAAUUUCACUCUUGUCGCCCAGGCUGGAGUGCAGUGCGAUCUCGGCUCACUGCAACCUCUGCCUCCCAGGUUCAAGCAAUUCUUCUGCCUCACCCUCCCUAGUAGCUGAGAUUAUAGGUGCCCACCACCACACCCGGCUAAUUUUGUAUUUUUAGUAGAGAAGGGGUUUCACCAUGUUGGCCAGGCUGGUCUCGAACUCCUGACCUCAGGUGAUCUUCCCACCUGGGCCUCCCAAAGUGCUGGGAUUACAGGCAUGAGCCACUGCACCUGGCCCAGACUUGAACUCUUGAUUGCAUGAAAGUGUAUUAAUCUUCUAUCUGCUUAUUCCCAAUUUCCCAGCUGAUAAAAUGCCCCACUGUUAUUUCACUUAAAUUUGGAAUAACCUGCAUCUAGUUAAGUUGGAGCUACUUUGUCUUGUUGCAGAUUUUCUUUUGCUUUGCUGUCUUCAUUCUAACUUGGCAGAGCCCAGGUGCUUUGUCUCUAUUUGCCUGCAAGACCUCUUUUCCAAGACAUGUCAGGUUUCUCUCUAAAGUACCUUCCACCUGGAGGAUAUCUGUUCUUGUUCUUUAAUUCCUGGCCCUAUUUCCUAUUCAUCUGAAAAACUAGGCUUUGUGAGCAGGAUCAUGCAUGGCAAUGAGUUCUAAUGAGUUUUUAAUGUUUCACACUUCAUGAUGAACAUAUAUUUGCAUUUCAGAAAAUGCUUUUAAGGAAUGUUUUUUUUUUUCUGCCCUCACUCCUAACUCAGUUGCCUUUAAGCAAAACCAAAGAGAGCCAUGGCCAGCCUGUUCAAAUGGCUGCAAUCAUUUAAGCCCCUCUCGCUGCACCCUGGCCCCUCUUGCCUCCCUAGCCUGCCCAUGCUUGCCCCUGUCUCAACUUCUACCCCCACUCCAGCUGAAGAGAUUUGCCAUUCUCAGCUUUCACCUUUGGGGAUCCCUCUUGACCAUGGUUAGCAAUUGCUGUGACCAUCCUCACAUCACAGAUUUUUGGGCUUCUGUUUCUUAGGACAAUGCCUGCUCUCCCUGCUAGCCUAUCCCUCAUCCCAGGCCCUCCAACCUCCAGCCACUGCAACUCUAGAGCCACAUCCUAUCCCAUUGACUAACCCAACUGCCAAGCCAAGCCCAAUCCCCAGACCUGGAGCUCAGAGAAAUUAUUAAUCCAAUCAAAGGCACUAAAGUUGGGAUUCUGACUCUGAAGCAGGUACCAAAUUUUGGACAGAGAGGGGCUCCUGAAACCAUACUAUUCCUGCAUUAAGUGUCUGGCACUAGGCAGGGGAUAUGAUGUGAUCUAACAAGGCCAUGCACUGGAAUUAACCUGCGUGAGCUCCACUUGGCUGCCCUCUAAAGGUCAAUGCAUUGUUUGAGCCUAGGGGAGCCAGUCACUGCUACAUCAAUGGCUGCAUCACGGUAUCCUUUUUAGGACUAAACCUGCAUUUUCCUAAUAUUCAGGUCUGUAGAAACUUUGACUGCAAGAAUUUUACAGGAAUGGGUAAAUAUCUGUAAGUACUUAAAAGUAUAUAUGGUAAUAUACAAUAUGAUAGAAGAAAUAAGACCUAAUGUUAGAUAGAUCAGCAGGGUAAUUAUAGUUUACAACCAUCUUUUGUACAAUUCAAAAUAGCUACAAGAGAAAAAGGUGAGUGUUUUUAGCAUAAAGAAAAGACAAAUACUUAAUGGAUAUCCCAAGUAUACUGAUUUGAUAUUUACAAAUUAUACAAAUGUAUUAAAUUGUCAUGUGUACUCCAAAACUAUGUACAUUAUUAUGCAUCAAUUAACAAAAGAUAAAAGUAUGUAUGAAUCAGUAAGUACUUCUAAGGACCUGUAAAUCCAUAUAAGUGCACAUUAGUAUAAGAGAACUAAGGAGAAUUUGAGAUCAGUGUUUACACAGUGCUAGCAUUUUGUUAUCUAAAACACCUCUUUUUCAACUCUAUCAAAGAUUGAAUGCAUUUUUUAAUUCAAGGAAUAUAAUAUUCAGGAUGAUUAUUUUUAUUACAGCUGUGGGCUUUUUCCUUGGGCAUUGAACGCUUCCAUUUAGUUCAACUACUUAUUAUCUUUUCUUCUCCUCUUCUUUUUUUUUUUUGCUUAACUUUCUAUUUCUUUCCCAGUAAUAACAUAUAUUUUCUCAACUUCUUAAAUCUCUUUAUUAGAUACAGUCGAAUGUAAUUUGGAAUUUACGAGUCUUAUCACAUUCUCAUUCUGCUUGAGCAAUUCAAGAUAUAAGAAAAACAGACUGUCUACAUUUCUUCAGAGUUCCUCCAACUAUUGGCUUAAAAUUCCUGAAAUUAAAAUUAUAGUUCUUUGACAUCGCUUCUGUCUAAUCAUUGCUGAUACCUGGAAAACACCAAAUGGCUUACUUACACAGUGUCCCACUCUGAAAUUUCUCACAUAAAGGAUUGUCUUACACAGAAAUACUGACCAUUUUGACAAGGGAAUGGCCCUAGAAUUGGGCCAGAGCUAAAAAUAAGCAGAAUAAACAAUUUUGAUAUUCUUCUUCAAUGGUCAUAAAUCUAGUUAGCAUGUUAUCAUUUACAUAUUAUGAUUUUGUUCAUGAUAGUUGUAGUAGAAUGGCCUAAAGAAAUCAAGAUCUGUUUUAUCUUCUACAUUACUUUAGUUACUGUAAGACUGAUAACUCACAUUGUCGUUUACCAAGUAUUUCCAUUUGUUCCUUGGAAUAAUCCUGUGAAGUGGGUAUUUUUUAUCACUAGUUUCAUAUAAUGAAUAUAUUACUGUUAAUGUCAAUACAUUCUAUUUAUCCAGCUCACUUAUUCUAGUAUUCUCUCUGCAGUGAUUCUUUAAUCUCAUUGAGAAGCCCCCAUGCCCAAUACACGCCUCCUAUCUUCAUACACGCCUCCUAUCUUCAUUUCCCUCCUUCCCCAACUCACACCCUUGAAAACAUUCUUAUCUCUCUUGUUUCUUUUUCUGUUGUCCUUGACUGGCAAAUUUGGAGGCAUGGAUGUACCCAACUCUUUGCCAUUUGGGGCUACCCCCAACUAGCCAAAUACUGCUAGAGAAACUCUCCUGAAUGAUUUCACUCUAAGUUCUAUGAACUUCAAAUGGGCAUUUAAGGAUACCUGGCAGUCCUACUAUGUUUUCCUAAUAAAUUUCAUUUUCCUCUUUCAAAAUUGUUAUUUAUUCUCCCGUCUCCUCCAACCUCCCAUAUCCCCACCUCCACACUCACUCUCUGCUGCUGAUGACCUCACUUCAUACUUUAUUGAAAAAAAUAGAAGCCUGCAGAGGAGCAACACUUUCAUACUGCUCCCACUGUAUCUAAAAAUCUCUAAGUUUCUGUGCCUGUCUUAGUCAGCUUGGGCUGCCAUAACAAAAUACCAUAAAAUGAGUGGCUUAAACAACAGAAAUUUUUCAUCUCAUAUUUUGAAGACUCAAAAUGUUGGCAUCGUUGGUACCUGGUGAGGGCUCUCUUCCUGGCUUGCAGACAGCUGCCUGCUGGCUGGGUCCUCACAUUGUCUUUUCUUGGUGCAUGCAUGAGGGAGAGAGUGCUAGUGUCUCUUCCUCUUCUUAUAAAGACACCAGCCCUAUCAAAUUAAGGGGUAGCUCUAUGACCUCAUUUAAAUAGAAUUAUCUCCCUAAAGACCUUAUCUUCUAAUAUAGUCACAUUUGAGACUGUGGCUUCAACAUGAAUUUUGGGGAGACAGAAUUCAGUCCUUCAGAGUGCCUGUGUUUUUCAUCUUACCAUAUGUUACAACAGAAAAAAAUGUCCCUGCUCUCAUCAAAAAUCAGUAACCCCCAGUAUGUUCUGGCUCCUGCCCGUCUCACUUUCUUAACAUUACUGACCCCCUCAUCUCUUCCUUCUCUUACAUAACUAGGGUUAUCCUUCUCACAAGCACACAAACACGCUCCUCCCUUGACUCCAUAAUCCCUCUCCAUCUCCCAACUCAUUUUUCUACCCCCUGUAAGCACCACUUCUCUAACAAAUUAUCUAAAAUUACUGCUUCCCCUUCCUCAACAAUCUAUUCCCUCAUCAGAAGACUUAAAACUGGCUAAUGUAGCUUCUGGGACUCAGAAAAUGAAAGCCCAAAAUAUGACACUUCAGACUUCAAACUGAGAGCACAUGGAGAGCAGCAAAUGCAGAGAAGGACUUUCCCCAAAGGUCCCUCCCUACCUAAACACAGGAUUCUCCUAAGAUACUCAAUCAUUGUCAAUCGCUUCCCCAGGGUAUCUCAAUGACUGGGAGAAGACUGAAGCCUAUCCCAGGAAAAGAAGACUAGAAUUGAUGACACACCAGGAGUCCAGAUGGGCUUUGUCUCAGACUACCAUCUGUUCUUCAGGCCCAUUCAUCUUCCCUAAAACUCAUUUACUCCUCCUCUAAAUUGUCUGCAUCCCACCCUUCCCCCUCCCUGUGAAGAAGGGUAUAUAAGCUUCUAAAUCCCAUUGGGUCAUUGGACACUCACCUUCCUGGAAUGCACGCAUACACAUAAUAUAUGUGUUAGCCUUUUCUCUCGUUAAGUGAUCUGUUAGUUUAUUUCUCAGACUCAAAUAUCAGACAUGCAGAGUGGAAAGAAAGGGCUCUCUCACCCAACAUGGCUCAUCUCAAGCUCAUCAAAAGCCCCCAUGUUCCAAAUUCAAUGGACGCCUCACUUGUCUUUUUUUUUUUUUUUUUUUUUUUUGAGACAGAAUCCUGCUCUGUCACCCAGGCUGGAGUGCAGUGGCAUGAUAUCGGCUCACUGCAACCUCCACCUCCCAGGUUUAUGCGAUUCUCCUGCCUCAGCCUCCCGAGUAACUGGGAUUACAGGUGCGCCACCGUGCUCAGCUAAUUUUUUUAUUUUUAGUAGAGACAGGGUUUCACCAUGUUGCCCAGGCUGGUCUUGAACUCCUGACCUCAAGUGAUCCACCGGCCUCAGCCUCCCAAAGGGCUGGGAUUACAGAGGUGAGCCACUGUACUGGGCCGCACUUAUCUUACUUGAUCUUUCAAGAACACCUGACCCAGUCAACUGCUCCUCUUCCCUGAAAACCACAUCACACUCUCCUGGUUUUCUUUCUGCAUCCCUGGCUGCUCCCUCUGCCUCUCCUUUGCUGGCUUCUGCUUCUCUUUCAAGCCUCUAAAUGUGGGAAUACCCUAGAACUUGCUCCUAGAUCCCCUUUUCUUCUCCACCUAUCUCCAGAGCUAAGUGAGCUCAUUCUACUCUCUGGCUUUGAGUCCUAUCUCUCUGGCGAUGACACCCAGAUUGAUAUGUGCAGUUCUGACCUCUCCCUUGAGCUCCAGACUCAUUUAUAUGGUCGAAAUGCCCAUCUGACAUUUCCAAUUGGACGUCUAAUAGUCUUGUCAAAUGUAGCAUAUCCAAAACAUAACCUUUGACUUCCCUCUUUUCCAGUCUUCCCCAUCUCUAUGGAUGGUAAUGAACUGCUCAAGCCAAACAUUUAUCAUUCGGAUUCCUGUCCUUCUCUUCUCUCCUAUACCCGGGCUUUUGACGAUUCAGCCGUAAAUCCAUCUACUUCUCUUUAUCGGUACUUCUAUUGCCUCAUUCAAGGCACAUCAGCUCUUGUCUGGAUGGAAGCCAUGGCCCCAUAAGUAGUCUUUCUGCUUCAAUUGCCUGACUGCCACACAUUCUCUAUGCAGCUAUCAGAGUACUCUUUUAAAAACUUAAAUCAUACUUGUCAUACAUGACAUAUUGUCAUGCCCUUGCUCAGAACCCUUCUGAGGCUUCACUUAUUAUUAGAAUAAAACUCAUCCUCACCAAGGCUUGCAUCCUACAACAUAACCUGACUUAGUAGGUCUAUUUCCUCCUUUGCUCUCUGUAUUGGUCCAUUUACAUUGCUGUAAAUAAAUGCCUGAGACUGGGUAGUUCAUCAGGAAAAGAGGUUUAUUUGGCUCACAGUUCUGCAGGCUGUACACAAAGCAUCGUGCCAGCAUCUGCUUCUGGUGAGGGAUUCAGGAAGCUUAUAAUCAUGGCGGGAUGUAAAGGAGAGCCAGCACAUCACAUGGAUAGAGAGAGAGAGAGAGGAGACAGUGCCAGGCUUUUUGAAACAACCAGAUCUUGUGUGAACUCAGAGAAUAAGAACUCACUCAUUACUGCCGAGACAUUCAUGAGGGAUCUGCCCCCAUGACCCAAACACCUCUCACUAGGCCCACUUCUAACACUGAAGCUCACAUUUCAACAUGAGAUUUGGAGGGGACAACCAUCCAAACCCUAUCACCCUCCAUGAUCCAUUCUUUCUGCUUCUCAAAUAUGCCAUGUUUAGGGCUGCUGUUCCUCUGCCUUGAGCGUUCCUGUUAGUGCUUCAGGUCUUAACUCGAAUGUCAACCCCUCAGAGUGACUUUUGCUACUCCCUAUGGAAUGCUCACCUCCCACCCCCGCCAUCAGCAUUUAUUUCGACUUCUUUCCUACCACUUAGCACAGUGAGCUCCAGGAGGGCAGGCUUUUGUCUGGCAUGCUCCCUGCACAUUCUCCAGCACCAAGCACAGACCUGGCACACAAUGAAUGUUCACUGAAAGAAUGAAGUUGAUCUCAGACUCUCCACCCAGCUCCAGGCUGCCAAAAUAAGCCCCUAAUUGCCUUCCCUGCUUCUCCUUUUGUUCCUGCCCCAUCUGUCUCCUAGGGAGAAUUGUCUCAGCUAGACCAGUCCUGGGCUCUUCACACAUCAGAGUUAGAGAGUUGACAGGGAAUUAAUAGAAGAUAGAACCUGAAAGGCUUAGGAGGGGUAAGACUUGGAGAAAUCUGUUGUCAGUCAAAAAUAAUAAAGUACAGAGGUGUAUGUGAGGAGGUAGGGGAGGGAGUACAGGAAGGGGAAAGAAAUCUAUAUAGUCCAGGUGUAAGUGAGAAAGUUCUUUCAGCAUUUGUCAAACUUGAGUUUGGGAGAGGGUGUGGGAAAUAAAUAACUGAGAAGAGUAAAUGGGAUUGCAGCAUAGAUGAGGAUUCUGAAUUAGGGCCACUCUGUCACCCAGGCUGGAGUACAGUAGUGCGAUCAAAGCUCACUGCAGCCUGGAGCUCCUGGUCUCAAGCAAUCCUCCCACCUCAGCCUUCCAAGUAGCUGGGACUACAGGCAUGUGCCACCAAACUCAGCUAAUUUUUUUUUGCAUUUUUUUGCAG